rnacentral:rRNA from 1 species
GACGAACGCUAGCGGCGUGCUUAACACAUGCAAGUCGAGCGGUAAGGCCCUUCGGGGUACACGAGCGGCGAACGGGUGAGUAACACGUGGGUGAUCUGCCUUGCACUUCGGGAUAAGCCUGGGAAACUGGGUCUAAUACCGGAUAUGACCUYSSRRUGCAUGYUSKKKGGUGGAAAGAUUUAUCGGUGCGAGAUGGGCCCGCGGCCUAUCAGCUUGUUGGUGAGGUAACGGCUCACCAAGGCGACGACGGGUAGCCGACCUGAGAGGGUGACCGGCCACACUGGGACUGAGACACGGCCCAGACUCCUACGGGAGGCAGCAGUGGGGAAUAUUGCACAAUGGGCGAAAGCCUGAUGCAGCGACGCCGCGUGCGGGAUGACGGCCUUCGGGUUGUAAACCGCUUUUGACAGGGACGAAGCGCAAGUGACUGUACCUGUAGAAUAAGGACCGGCCAACUACGUG